CGCAGAGAUUUGGAGGGGCCGUAAUGGCUCUAAUAGCGGGGCCCGUAAAGAUUUGGAGGGGCCGUAAUGCCUCUAAUAGCGGGGCCUGCAGAUUUGGAGGGGCCGUAAUGGCCAUAAUAGCUGCGGCAGCCUGAAAGGGGGACGGGGGGCUCUACCGUAAUGCUCCUAAGAGCCGCCCCCGGGCUGAAUAGUGGGGGUGCAGGUACCAUAACGCUCCUAAUAACUGCUCCUGAGGUUCUGGUACCGGGGGGCAGGGAUGGGAAUGGUGGGGUUCGGGUACCGUAAUGCUCCUAAGAGCUGCUCCGGCCCCUGAUGCUGGAGCUGCGGAGGUAACUGUUACCGUAACGCUCCUAAUAACGGGGCUCAGGUACCGUAACACCCCUAGUAGUUGCUCACUAGGGAAUACCGGGGUUCAGGCUGCUGUAAUAGUGGGGUCCCAGUACCAUAAUGCUCCUAAUAUUGGGGCUGGUUACCGUAACACCUCUAAUAGCUGUUCCAGAGCCAAUAUUGGGUCUUUGUCCGAGGCUGCGUGUGGAGGCGUGUUAUCCCAUGUUAUCCCGUGUUAACCCAUGUUAUGGCAUGUUCCACUCCCAGGGCCUGGGUUCUGGCUCAUUCCUGGUCUCCCUGUGCCCCCCGUCACCCCCUUGUGCCCCCACAUCCGUGUCUGAGGCUGCGUGUGGAGGCGUGUUAUCCCAUGUGAUCCCAUGUUAUCCCAUGUUAUCCCAUGUUAUCCCAUGUUAUCCCGUGUUCCCCCCCCAGGGCCUGGGCUGUGGCUCGUGCCUGGGCUCCCUGUGCCCCCCGUCACCCCCUUGUGCCCCCACAUCCGUGUCCGAGGCUGCGUGUGGAUGCGUGUUAUCCCAUGUGAUCCCAUGUUAACCCGUGUUACCCCGUGUUCCCCCCCGGGGCCUGGGCUGUGGCUCAUUCCUGGUCUCCCUGUGCCCCCCAUCACCCCCGUGUCCCCCCGUAACCGUGUCCGAGGCUGCGUGUGGAUACAGCUUAUCCUAUGUUGACCCAUGUUAUCCCAUGUUAUCCCAUGUUAACCCAUGUUAUCCCAUGUUCCCCCCCCAGGGCCUGGUCUGUGGCUCAUUCCUGGUCUCCCUGUGCCCCCCAUCACCCCCGUGUCCCCCCGUAACCGUGUCCGAGGCUGCGUGUGGAUACAGCUUAUCCUAUGUUGACCCAUGUUAUCCCAUGUUAUCCCAUGUUAACCCAUGUUAUCCCAUGUUCCCCCCCCAGGGCCUGGUCUGUGGCUCAUUCCUGGUCUCCCUGUGCCCCCCAUCACCCCCGUGUCCCCCCGUAACCGUGUCCGAGGCUGCGUGUGGAUACAGCUUAUCCUAUGUUGACCCAUCGUCACCCCCUUGUGCCCCCACAUCCGUGUCCGAGGCUGCGUGUGGAUGCGUGUUAUCCCAUGUGAUCCCAUGUUAACCCGUGUUACCCCGUGUUCCCCCCCGGGGCCUGGGCUGUGGCUCAUUCCUGGUCUCCCUGUGCCCCCCAUCACCCCCGUGUCCCCCCGUAACCGUGUCCGAGGCUGCGUGUGGAUACAGCUUAUCCUAUGUUGACCCAUGUUAUCCCAUGUUAUCCCAUGUUAACCCAUGUUAUCCCAUGUUCCCCCCCCAGGGCCUGGUCUGUGGCUCAUUCCUGGUCUCCCUGUGCCCCCCGUCACCCCCUUGUGCCCCCACAUCCGUGUCCGAGGCUGCGUGUGGAUGCGUGUUAUCCCGUGUUAUCCCAUGUUGACCCGUGUUACCCCGUGUUCCCCCCCAGGGCCUGGGCUGUGGCUCGUGCCCGGGCUGCGUGGCCACCGAGGACUGUGGCUCCUGCUGUAUCUGUCUGCGCCGCCUCAAGCCGGGCCUCAAGCGACAAUGGCGCUGCCUGCGCCGCA
rnacentral:lncRNA from 1 species